UACGGAGGGUGCAAGCGUUAUCCGGAUUCACUGGGUUUAAAGGGUGCGUAGGUGGGUUUGUAAGUCAGUGGUGAAAUCUCCGAGCUUAACUUGGAAACUGCCAUUGAUACUAUAGAUCUUGAAUUUUCUGGAGGUAAGCGGAAUAUGUCAUGUAGCGGUGAAAUGCUUAGAUAUGACAUAGAACACCAAUUGCGAAGGCAGCUUGCUACAGGAAUAUCGACACUGAGGCACGAAAGCGUGGGGAUCAAACAGG
rnacentral:rRNA from 1 species